AGCUGCAUCUUCAGAAGAUUCAUCGCCAUGCAUGCGUUUUUUCCUGCGAAUUCUUCUCGUUUUGAGUUCGAUUCCGAGUUUUUCGCAGAGAGUCUUAGCAAAGUCAAUUGCUUCUUGCACGAAACGGUCUCUACUUUCCACUAAGAGGGUUUUUAAAGUGCAGAGUUUUAUUUGCAUGUUAAGGUGUGUCAAUUUUUUGCUAGAUUUCGCCUAUGUUAAUUGGUAUUUACAGCGGUGAUACGCCCGGCUGUCGUCAUCCGUCCGAAGGCCAUAAAGCCCGGCCUCCACCCGCCAGUAUUAAACCCCGCUAACGGAACGCAACCCUAGUCCAGGUCACGUGAGUCAAGCGAGCCGUCGACGUCGGACAUAAAGGGACACCUGUUAUUGGGUAAUUCUCCGAUGGUGCGGCUAGGGCACUACCUAUGUCUCAAGAACAAGGUAUGGGUCCCGCCUACCAUGGGAAAGAAAUGCAAGUGGCAAAGGAAUGUUAGUUUUUGCAGUUUCGGGAAGCAAAAUUUUCAAUAAUAUCAAGACAGUUAAAAGGAGGCAGCAAGAAUUAAGUGGACGACAAGUGCUCCUGUUAACAGGGACAAAUGAUGUGAUGGCAAGCAACAAGUACAAGUGGAUGUACCUGAACCUGAACAAACUAGUAAAUUUUUUAAUGGACAUGGACUGUGAGGUGGUGCUCCUGACAUGGCCACCCAGACCUUAUCUUGAGGAAGGAGAUGAGAGGAAAGCUCUCCUGCUUAAGUUCAAUGAACUUAUCAGGAACAUGGCAGGUUUUACUAUCGUGGGAAGAUUGACAAAUUACAUUGGAAUUUCAUGGGCAUGGAAAAGGUCAUCCAACAAAAUUGAGACCGAAUUGUGAAGACUUAUUGGAGAGCUUUCCUCAUUGACGAUGCCCUUAGCUGAAGAGAUUGGGUUAGGUUAUAUUAUUCAAAUUAUUAUUUUUUUAUUUUUUUAAUUUUUCUUAUUUAAAAUUACUUGCAUGCAGACGAAGGCCUCACAGCCUUAUUCUUAUGUUAAAUAAUGUACAGCAAGUCUUAAAAUUUUAACGAUGCCUAUGGCUAACUGAAAUAAGUAUUAAUAGUUGUGAAGUUGAACAUAAUUAUUAAGUAUAAAUUUCUUCUUAUUUACUUGCAGUAAAAGGCUUUAAAGCUUCAUUCUUAAGAUCAUGUAACGAUACCUAUGGCUGAAUGAAAUGUUUAAAGUUAUAUAGUAGAAAUAGUUAUUAUGAAUUUUUUCAUUCUUAUUUACAGUUACACUCUUGCAGACGAAGGCAUUAAAGCCUCAUUCUUAGUAUUAAUAGUGUAAAUUAGGUUUCAUCAAUUAAACAAUGGCUAAAAUAAAUGAUAAUAGUUAUAGUGUUGAAAUGAAUUAUAAUGAAUUUUUUUCAAUUGUGUUAUUUGCAAUUAUGUACUUGCAGAUAAAGGCAUCAAAGCCUCACUCUUACGUUUAAUAAUGUACAUCAGGUCUCAGCAAUUUAAAAAUGCCUAUGACUAAAUUACAUAUUGAUAGUUGCAUAGGAUACUCAGUAAUGGAAAUGUAUGUAAAUCAAUUUUUCUGUUUUAAAUCAAGUUGAUAAAAGAUGAGUGGGUAACGUGAAACAAAGGGCUUUGCACCCAUGUUUACUUUACUGUUUAUUUUAUUAUAUCGGUUCAUGACCAUACUGCACGAUAAAAAUCAAUGUUCAUAUGUAAUUUUAAUAUGUCAUAAUAACCCUUGCAUGUCAUUAUUGGGUUUUGUUGUAACAGCACAUUGAAUGCAAUUCCAAAGAUCAAGUGCACACUUGAACUAAAGCACAUUUACAAGACUGAGUCUUAGCACAUGACACUAACUGAACUAGUAAGGACCAGCUUCAUAACAAAACGUACAUAAGCAAGACUUACCAUGCGUACAACAUACAGCAGUGUACACAUAGCUCGAAUUCCCACGUUCCUACAAUAUAUGCAACUUGUACUCAAAUCUAACAGAUACAAGUGACCAUACACAAGAGUAAAGCACAUCUGCAUAAGUUUGCACAGGGUAAGUUAAAGAAAGUAUUAGCUCACCUUUCAUAACCACACACAGAUAAAAUGUAACACUUGUAAGGCAGUGAGAUGGAACAGUAGUGUUCCAUACCCUAUCAUUUUUAAUCACAAUAGUACUAAAUCAUCCUGGUCCUGAUAUAUUUUUUUCUCACUCUUAUGCAUGUCUAUCGAAUCGAUAACCGAUGAAUAUUUAACCAUGCAAAUACUUAAUGCUUUGGAAUGUUAUGAUUUGUAAAUAUAUUAACUAGGACUGAAAUAGUUAUAGUUUCUUGAGGUCUGCAUGGUUGUGGAACAUAUUCAGUAUCCCUGCCAUUUGGAUAACAAAAAACCUCAGUAAUGUGGCCACCACAAGAAUUGAAUGUAGUCUUGUAUAUACUUUGGUGCCAGUUCCAAGCCUGGAUGUUAAUGAGGACUGGAAAAUGAAAUGUUAUCACUUUGCAUGUAUCUGAAAGCUAAUUGUGUGUUUGAAGAUUUGUUUUAGUUACAGCUAUGGUUCGUCAUUCUUAAAGUGGCGUAAUUGGAUUUGACUUGACUCACUAUGUUUUCACAGUAACAGCAUAUGCACUUAUGCAGUCUUAAAAUACUUGGGUAAGUACAAAUUUUUGUAAAUGCCAUAACGAGGCUUAGAAGUAACACACUGUAUUCUACUUUACGAGACAAUAAACAUUUCCGUAAAUGUAAAUAUUGUUAACAAAUAUUACAUGACAUGUAAUAAUUAUUUUACUUGGAGACUUAGGUAACUUACCAAUAGUUCCUUGAGGUCUGCGUGGUUGUGGAACAUAUACACUAUCCCUGCCAUUUGGAUUACAAGAAACCCCAAUAAUGUGGCCACCACAAGUAUUGAAUGUAGUCUUGUAUAUAGUUUGGUGCCAGUUCCAAGCCUGGAUGACACAGAGUACUGGAAAAUGUAAUGUUAUCACUUUGCAUGUAUUGGAAUGCCGAUUGUGUGUUAGGAGUUUUGUUUCAGUUGCAGGGUUGGUGUGAGACUAAAAUAUGUAGAUAUGAAAUCAACAUGAAGCACAUGUGUACUUGCAGGUAGCAGAAGCUAGUGGGUAAGUCUGAAUAUCAGUUAUGUUGUUAUUUGGCUUAGGGAUAAGACACUACACACUCAUACUAGAGGACCCUCUUUUGUAUCCUGAUUGUUUUUUUUCCCCUUGGUCCCUAAGAAAUGGUUAUGACAAAUACUUUUCUUUUACGUUGUUAUCCUCUGCUGAGUUUUAAGUGUCCCUAAGGGCCUUGUUGUGUUAAAUAUCUUUAACGAUAUGUUUGUUAGAAAAUUAUGCAUGUAUUUUUAUUGGUUAAUAGGUGGUGUUAUACAUAUUUAUUUAUUUACACACAUUCUGAAUGCACACUAAGCCUUUGUGGUAUGCAUGCAAAAACAGAAAAAACUACAAACAUAAACAGAAUUUGCAGGGACUGCAUGUAGAUAGGUCCAGCCUGCAGGCAGUCACAUGCAGGCGGGCACUACUACAUGCAGAGAAGGACCAUCUGCAGGUGGGCAGGGCAUACAGGAAGGCGCAGCCCACAUGCAGGUUUGGCCAACAAAACAAACAAAAUACAGACAAACACAAUAUACCGUAUAUUUUUAAUUGAUAGUAUACACAUGUAGGAAGUUUUCU